CGCCGAACAGCUAGCUCACCCAAAGAUAAAUCAACAUACCACAAUUAAUACCCCCAAAUACACAAGCGAUAAACCUAAAUAAAUCAUUUUUCCCCCUAAGUAUGGGCGACAAAAAA
rnacentral:rRNA from 1 species